CCUACGGGAGGCAGCAGUAGGGAAUCUUUCACAAUGGGCGAAAGCCUGAUGGAGCAACGCCGCGUGCAGGAUGAAGGCCUUCGGGUUGUAAACUGCUUUUAUAAGCGAGAAAUAUGAUGGUAACUUAUGAAUAUGGAUCGGCUAACUACGUGCCAGCAGCCGCGGUCAUACGUAGGAUCCGAGCAUUAUCCGGAGUGACUGGGUGUAAAGAGUUGCGUAGGUGGGAUAAUAAGUAGCUAGUGAAAUCUGGUGGCUCAACCAUUCAGACUAUUAGCUAAACUGUUAAGCUCGAGACCGUUAGGGGUAAGUGGAAUUUGUAGUGUAGGAGUGAAAUGCGUAGAUAUUAGAAGGAACACCAAUAGCGUAGGCAGGUUACUGGGACGGUUCUGACACUAAGGCACGAAAGCGUAGGGAGCAAACGGGAUUAGAUACCCCUGUAGUC
rnacentral:rRNA from 1 species